AGGUCUCAUCUGCUGCUGUCACCAUCUCCGCAGCUGCAGCUCCCUCUGCCUCCAUCCUGGGAAACUGUGCUGCACUGGCUGCAGCUGUAUGGCACAGCUUUGGGAACAGCUGAAGGGCACUUCAUCUGAAGCAAAAGAACAAAACCAGUUCAUGAUUUCUGUGAAGGUGUCCUGAUACUAGUGCAAGCUGAAUGCCAUAAGUCAAGCAAUCCUUUGAGGCACCAAAGUUUGGUCACUUAAGAAGUCCAGUGUAAGGUCAGCUGCAAUCCAUCAAUAAAGCCUUGAGGUCUGUACAAAGAGGAUCCAGAUUUUGGAUGAAUCCGAGCACACAGAUAUAGGACCUUGCACAGUAAAUAGGCAUUUGGCAGAUGUUUAUGUUGCUUCGAAGCUGCCUGGUUCUGGGGCAGAUCAACACAGAAAAAGAGCCAUCCUCCUGCCCGUUGCAGCACAGAUUCUGACAAGACAGUAGGUAAAGCAUUGCUCGUUACUGAUGACUGACUUUUACUGAUGGCAUCCUUAGAAACCCACAAAUGAUUGGUUUGGGGAUUGUCAAUGUGGCUAUUUGCAGGUGAUGAAGAAAGGAAGUAAAUAAAAAUAUGAUUUGACAUUUCAUUAGUAAUGCUAGAGAUGGCUGUGCACAGAACAGAGGCAAUGAAUAUUGCACCUGCUGGAGUGCAAGCAAUAAAGGCAAAUGCAUAGCCUGCUCUGACCUCUAGCCUUCAUUACCCAGAACAAUAUGCCAUUCCCUGUAUCCAAAAUCAUACUAUGCCUGUG